UUAGGGACACACACCUGUCCUUCAAAGUGGUGCAAUGCCAGUAGAAACAUGCCAUUGUGUAGAAUCCGAAGUUAAUUUCUGAGAAGUGACUUUCAAUAAGCCUCCCGCUCAGACUGGCUAUUGCGAGCCCUUGGGGUACCCGCAAGAUCUCAGUUUUAAGAAAUUCCUGUUCUUGUAUCACAAGAGAAGAAUCGUGGAAAGAUGUCUGUGUCCUGCAUAAGGGGCGGCUUGAAAACAGAGCAGUCUAUUUUGUCAGCCAAGUGUCUCCCCCACUUCUCGCACACCUCCCUUCUGCACGCACGCAUGCUACAAACGGGGAGGGCUUCUUUCGUUGCUCCACAUUUGGCAGAGACUUAGCUGCUUCUGUUUAUAAUGGCCCAAGCAGUCAGCGAGGGGAGAGAACGUGCUAUUGGUUUAGUUAGUUCAUGACUUACAGCAGCAGCAGCAGCAGCUCCAAAGUUGUAUCCCGGAGGAUCUCAAUUCUCCGCUCCUCCUUCAGCUGUGCAAAGUCAGCAUCACUGCUACCGACUGAGGGCUUUCAGGUCACUGAUUGACGGGAUCUCGGCUGGUUUUGCGCUUUCAGGGAAGAGUUGCAAGAGCAAUCCACCAAGGAAAAAGAAUGCAUGCCUCUAGAAGAAUACACUGCCUUCGUGCUCACAGGCCAAAACCUGCUGCUACCACCGGAGAGGCAGUGCAGAAUUCUUGUGGGUGCAAACAGCAGUGUCGAAAUGAGCAAACCGCCGUCGGUACACUCUACACACUCAUUGUCAUGGUCAUCCUAAUUGCAAUUUGGGGAGUCUGGGCCAGGAAAGAUUUCUGAGCAUGCUGAAGGAAGACGUUCGAUAUCAAAAGCUCAGAGAGACCCUCUUAGGGACAGGAAGGGCAAAACGCCCGGCUUAUACACACUGGAACUGUUAUCGAAGGACAAUUGCCGAUGGAUGCAAAGUCUCUCUCUGCCCCUCUUUCUGGCAACGCUCAAAAUUCAAGAGAGAAAAGAAUGCAAUGUGAUGAUUCUUUCGAGACUGCUUUGUAUAAUGAUGAUCGUAAAAUGAUGCAGCUCUGUAAAUCCUGUAAAUGUAAAGUAUGUAAAGUAUAAAUAUAAAAUAUACCUAUUUUAAGAA